rnacentral:rRNA from 1 species
UGCAGUCGAACGAUGAACCUCACUUGUGGGGGGAUUAGUGGCGAACGGGUGAGUAACACGUGAGUAACCUGCCCUUGACUCUGGGAUAAGCCUGGGAAACCGGGUCUAAUACUGGAUACGACCUUCUGGCGCAUGCCAUGUUGGUGGAAAGCUUUUGUGGUUUUGGAUGGACUCGCGGCCUAUCAGCUUGUUGGUGGGGUAAUGGCCUACCAAGGCGACGACGGGUAGCCGGCCUGAGAGGGUGACCGGCCACACUGGGACUGAGACACGGCCCAGACUCCUACGGGAGGCAGCAGUGGGGAAUAUUGCACAAUGGGCGCAAGCCUGAUGCAGCGACGCCGCGUGAGGGAUGAAGGCCUUCGGGUUGUAAACCUCUUUCAGUAGGGAAGAAGCCGGUCUUUUGGGUUGGUGACGGUACCUGCAGAAGAAGCGCCGGCUAACUACGUGCCAGCA